GUAGCCGUAUCGGAAGGUGCGGCUGGAUCACCUCCUUUCUAAGGAUAAUGCAGUCCUUG
rnacentral:rRNA from 1 species